AUGGCUGUCGUCAGCUCGUGUCGUGAGAUGUUGGGUUAAGUCCCGCAACGAGCGCAACCCUUAUCCUAUGUUGCCAGCGCGUAAUGGCGGGGACUCGUAGGAGACUGCCGGGGUCAACUCGGAGGAAGGUGGGGAUGACGUCAAGUCAUCAUGCCCCUUACGUCCAGGGCUGCACACAUGCUACAAUGGCCGGUACAACGGGCUGCUAUCCCGCGAGGGGGCGCUAAUCCCAAAAGCCGGUCUCAGUUCGGAUUGGAGUCUGCAACUCGACUCCAUGAAGUCGGAGUCGCUAGUAAUCCCGGAUCAGCAACGCCGGGGUGAAUACGUUCCCGGGCCUUGUACACACCGCCCGUCACACCACGAAAGUCGGUAACACCCGAAGCCGGUGGCCCAACCCUUUUGGGAGGGAGCUGUCGAAGGUGGGAUCGGUGAUUGGGGUGAAGUCGUAACAAGGUAGCCGUACCGGAAGGUGCGGCUGGAUCACCUCCUUUCUAAGGAGCUCACUGCCUGGAAUUAUCACAAUUCCAGGAACUCCUACGUCGAUCACUGGUCAGCUGGCAUUCGGCCAAUUCCGACCCCGCUCAGCCUUGUGCUGAACGGCACCACCGGGACCCGGAUCGCCGGCGUGCGCGUCACUGUUCCGUUUUGAGGGAGCGGUCGCUCGGGCUUCUCGCCCGGAGGCUGCUACCUCGAGGCCAGAUCCGCCCCCGCCGCCCCGCAUUGCGGGGCUGGCGCGCGGACGACUUCAACGCCCCUUGAGAACCGCAGAGCGAGCACGAGCAUCUAGCAAACAGUGCAAGACGAAAAUCCCAAGCUAUAAAGAGCCAACGGUGGAUGCCUUGGCGCCAGAUGCCGAUGAAGGACGUGGGUGGCUGCGAAAAGCCACGGUGAGCUGCCGACCAAGCAUUGACCCGUGGAUCUCCGAAUGGGGAAACCCGG
rnacentral:sRNA from 1 species